AUGCACUGGGUGCGCCAGAGCCCCGGGAAGGGGCUGGAAUGGCUCGCUGGGAUCAGCAAAAGUGGUGGUACCACCUACUAUGCGCCAUCGCCCCUGUGGCUCCUCUGCCGCCCCUCCGGCUUCACCUUCGGCGACUACACCAUGUUCUGGGUGCGCCAGAGCCCCGGGAAGGGACUGGAAUGGCUCGCUGGGAUCUACAAGGAUGGUUCCAGCACCUACUACGCGCCGUGGGUGAAGGGCCGGUUCAGCAUGGCCAGGGACAACGGGCAGAGCUCGGUGACGCUGCAGAUGAACAACCUCAGGGACGAGGAUUCCGCCACCUAUUUCUGCACCAGGAGCUAUGAUGGUGGUGUUAAUUAUGCCGAUGAUUUUCCCAACCCCCUUCAAGGGGCCCCCAAACAUCCCCAAAUCCCGAGCCCUCCCCUCAAAUGUCCCUUCCACCCUUCACACCCAGCUCUCGCUCGUUGA